GUGCUCGCUUCAGCACCACAUAUACUAAAAUCAGAACGAUAAAGAGAAGAUUAGCAUGGCCACAACACAAGGAUGACAAGCAAAUUUUUGAAGCAUUCCAUACUCAA